UACUUACACUUGUACUUUUCACGUAUCUUCUGGUAAUUUUCGAGCAUGAUCUCGCGUGAUAUUUGACCACGAUUAAGGGCACGGUCACCAAUGGAACGCAUGGACACAACAUGGCUGCUAGACGCGCGAAGCAACCAAGACGACUUCGCUUCGAUACUGAAGCACGAUAAGUGCUACGCACGCCACGUAUGACCGACUGUCACUGUCUGCUGUGCUCGCUCGAGGGGAUGAAGGGACUGUGUAUGGUUCUGGUUCAAUCAUGUUUCACGCAAUGUCGCCGAUACAUACGAUCAACUGUCAAGUGGGGAAAGCGGUAAUACCUAAAAGACGGAAAUAGAUAUAAAUUGUCCAUCUGCCGGGACGUUUUGAAAAGAAAGAAAUGAUCCGCACGGGAGCGAGGCGAAGCCUUAUCUCGAACCGAAGUGUCACGUUACAAAACAGAAACAUUGGGGAUUCGACGAUGUUUACCAUGGAACGGCAACACACCACGAAUCGGCGUGGAAUCGAAUGAGAUAAAAGUCGAAUGGGUGUUUCGUCCGGACGACAUGGACGCCUCGUCUUCGACUCGUUUCUUGUUGUCACACACGGUCCCGAGCCGUGUACGCUCACGGAUACACACACACACGCACACACGGUCCCGAGCCGUGUACGCUCACGGAUACACACACACACACGCACACACGGUCCCGAGCCGUGUACGCUCACGGAUACACACACACGGUUGGGCCGGUAUACGUGGCAGGCAACACACGUAUAGGAAGGCGAGGAACGCAGAUUGCUAGAGGCGCUGUUCCGCUGACCUACUCUACGAUUAUCACUCACUAUAGGCCGAUCGCCGGUGCAGUAUUCCUUGGAAAGAUUAACCCAAAUUGCCAGAAGAGAAAUGAUUAAUCGAGCGAAAUUUUAUAUAUAUACGGAAGAGAACGAAUACGGGAAAGAAUAUAGAAAAAUAACGAAUCAAUAAGGAAUCGAUUAUAUUUUACUUUAUGCACGUAUCCGAGCGUUCUAAAAUUCUAUUCCAACUCGAAGCGCAUAGAGGAGAAGCGAGGAGAGCAGAGACAUCUAUCUCAACAUCCGUAUUCUUUCUAUCCGCGCUCAUUUUUAUCGUCGAUCUCCUUCACGGCUCAUCAUCGGAUUAACAGUUAAUAAUAAGAGUGUGCGCGAAGGUCGAUGAUUUCUGGCAAGUAUCCGCGGCGAAAGUAUGGCAGAUCAAUUUCGCGAUGCGUGACCGACUCGAAAGCGAGCAUGUUUUCUUCCCCCGAUCUUUGCGCUUCUUUAAUCUGGUCUAUCCUCCUUUUUUCCCCCCACUUUUUCUCUCUUCCUUUUUUUGCCCAUGCGCGCCAACGUCUACCAAUGUUUUUCUCCAGCCUCGCCUCUGGACAUACUAUUCCGGCUUACUAUACUACUCCGUUUCCAUCUCUGAACAGAGCUGACAGAGGCGGUUCUGAAAACUUUCUAGCUGGCAAAAAGCGUUCGUCCCAUUCGAAUGCUCGUUGAAAAUUCGGCAGUGAGUUUUUUUGCACCAAGUUGCGGUGUAACGAACAGCUCGGUUGCACGCGGUAGACGGUGUAAAAGAAUAAUCCUGGCUCGCUAAUGGAAUUGGACGGAGAGUUUGGAGUGGAAAGGAAGGAGAAAGAAGAGGCGUGAAUUCCAACGUGUGUCCAAGAACGACGGUGACCCCGGUAUAAUAGGGGAAAGGGAAAGAGAUACCUGUAUAUAUAGAAAUAGCAGGAUCAUCAAUAGGUCACUUGUUCUCGAGUCAUCGGACGAUCGAUCGCCGUUUGGCAAGAUCGCCGGCUGUUACCUAGAUUUUUCGCCCGUGAUUCCAAGAAACGAUUCCCUCCCCCCCCCCCUCCUCGCCCGUUGUGCCGGUAAACGGAUCACUAAGGCGACAGCCGUCGUUUUAUCUCCCGUCCCGGGAGGAGGUAGCCAGUGUCAAUCGAAACGGAGUCGAAUCGGGCGAUAUACCUCUGGCUGAAGGAUGGAGAGGCGCGCAACCGGCGCGCAGCAGCGUGGCUCGGGAGUAUGGACCUUGCGAGCGGUCAAAGUCGUGGCCUACUUCACUUCCUGCCUUCGAAACUUUCUCCUCGUGGCGUCGUUCGUGCGUUCACGUUCGAGUGCCAAGGCCUAGCGAUGGGAUCAAGUUCAGCGCUCGGUGUAUAAAUAUAAUUCCCUAUCGAUCCCUAUCUCUUCCCAAAUUAAGCAACGGAACGGAAUCCGUCUCUCUCCAUAAAUUUUACUCGAUACUUUUUACUCGAUAUUUUUGGAGAAUCGGAUUUUCGGAAAAGCGGCAAAUUCGAAAUGCACUCGCUCGAUCCCAUCGCUAUUGCCAACCUUCCAUCUCCUUCCAUCUCUUCCUUCCUCGCAAUAUGGAUGAUUGCGCCAAUUAUGAGAGAGACCCGUCGGAUCUCGAGAAAUCAUUUGGAUGUCCGGUUCCAGUCGAUCGAUUUAUUUUGUUUCGAAGAGUAUUCGGAAAAAUUCAUUGGAACGAUUUUAAUAUAUUUUUUUCCCAAA
rnacentral:lncRNA from 11 species